rnacentral:tRNA from 1 species
GCAUUAGUGGUUCAGUGGUAGAAUUCUUGCCUUCCAUGUGGAGGACUGGGUUUGAUUCCUGGCCGAUGCA